UCCGGUUGAUCCUGCCGGACCCCACUGCUAUCGGGGAUAGGACUAAGACAUGCUAGUUGAGCGCUUCCAGCCAACACGGGAGCGCAGCGCACAGCUCAGUAACACGUGGCUAAUCUGCCCUUGGGACCGGAACACCCCCGGGAAACUGGGGCUAAUUCUCGAUAGGUGAAGAACUCUGGAAUGAGUCUUUGCCAAAAAGACGUUUGCGUUAUGCUCGUAGACGUCGCCCAAGGAUGAGGCCGCGACCGAUCAGGUUGUUGGUGAGGUAAUGGCUCACCAAGCCUUUUACCGGUGCGGGCCGUGAGAGCGGGAGCCCGGAGAUGGGCACUGAGACAAGGGCCCAGGCCCUACGGGGCGCAGCAGUCGCGAAAACUUUGCAAUACACGAAAGUGUGACAGGGCUAUCCCGAGUGCCAUCCGCUGAGGAAGGCUUUUACCCAGUCUAGAACGCUGGGGGAAUAAGGAGAGGGCAAGUCUGGUGUCAGCCGCCGCGGUAAUACCAGCUCUCCGAGUGGUGUGGAUGUUUAUUGGGCCUAAAGCAUCCGUAGCUGGCUGAGUCAGUCCCUUGUUAAAUCCACCGAAUUAAUCGUUGGAUUGCGGGGGAUACUGCUCGGCUAGGGGACGAGAGAGGCAGACGGUAUUUCCGGGGUAGGGGUGAAAUCCUAUAAUCCCGGGAAGACCACCAGUGGCGAAGGCUGUCUGCUAGAACGCGCCCGACGGUGAGGGAUGAAAGCUGGGGGAGCGAACCGGAUUAGAUACCCGGGUAGUCCCAGCUGUAAACGAUGCAGGCUAGGUGUUUGGACGGCACGUGCCGUUCUAGUGCCGCAGGAAGCUGUUAAGCCUGCCGCCUGGGAGUACGAUCGCAAG
rnacentral:rRNA from 1 species